rnacentral:rRNA from 1 species
UACGUAGGGUGCAAGCGUUGUCCGGAAUUAUUGGGCGUAAAGAGCUCGUAGGCGGUCUGUCGCGUCGGCUGUGAAAACUCGGGGCUCAACUCCGAGCUUGCAGUCGAUACGGGCAGGCUAGAGUUCGGCAGGGGAGACUGGAAUUCCUGGUGUAGCGGUGAAAUGCGCAGAUAUCAGGAGGAACACCGAGUGGCGAAGGCAGGGUCUCUGGGCCGAUACUGACGCUGAGGAGCGAAAGCGUGGGGAGCGAACAGG